rnacentral:rRNA from 1 species
UCGCCGCUGUCGCUGUGCCACAAGCUGCGGACCACCGUGUGCCGUUGCUUCGGCUCACCGUCCUCGCGGGGCAGCUGCGCGGAGAGGCCGCACACCGGCGGCAGAAGGGCCAGGUGGAGGCAGCGCGUGGCGGCCACGGGGAAGUUCAUGUACGACCCGCUCAGCUACGCGCUCAACUUCGACGACGGAGCCAGCGACGACGGCAACCAGGACGCGGAGGAUGCUGUCUUCCGGUACCGGAACUUCAACUCACGCCUGCCACCCUCGCAGGCGCCGGCAGCCCCGCGUCUCACCACGCUCAUCAUCGCCUGA